CCCAUCACGCAACACCCUCAUGCUCGAUUAAUCGGCUGGCGACCACCAUCGUCUGGUGGCGGCGGCACACGACGGCGAUAGGACGAAGAGAGAGUGAGAGAGAGAGAGAGAUCGGAGCUCGAGCUAGGAGAGAAGGACACACCGACCGACGGCGAUAGCCGCGUUCAGCGGCGGCGACGUUCAACGGCGGCAUCUCGACUUCGUGAGUGUUCGUUUAGAAUUCUCUAAUGAAGAAGAUGAUAAAGUUUGGUUCCGGUGCACGCCAUUCUCGUUGCGGUAUACACCUUCUUAUCCCUUUUUGUUCACUGAAACGAUUCAUUUAUAUUUAACCUUAAUCGGAACUUCACUCCCUCUGUUCAACAACUCACCGGAGCAUCCUCAAGCCGGAAAAACUCGAAGACCUUGCUGGAGAAAGAUGGGCGUCGUUGGAGAUACGGAAACACGUCGGAGACCGGGAACGCACGUCUGCGACACCUACAGAUCUUCGUUCGGAUAAUCGCUCUUGUUCGCUCUCUUGGAUUUUUUUCUCAUUCUUCACUCGUGCGAUACAUACAAGAAUUCGCAACGCAACCAAUGUG